AAGAGAUAAAACCUCACAGAUUUACCGACGUUUAAGAACUCAUCAGUUCCUGAACACAAAUAUGUUGCUAAACUAGUCAGAAGUUGGUUAAGGCAUCAUACACGUUGUGACCCCAGCAUUAUGGAGGCUGAGAAAGGACAAUUGCCACAAAUUCACAGAUGAGAUUGAUUUCUCUUACCUGCAGGUAAGUCAGUAGGGUUAAGAGGAUAAACAUGUAGUGACUACGUAGUUAACAUCUCAGGUUUUAGUGACUUUGCUGAUCUUUUUACAUUG
rnacentral:lncRNA from 1 species